UACAUUACGAAUUGAUUCUUCUGCGUUUAAGGCCCGAGUGCCUCGUUAUUAGUUCUUACGCCCGAGUGCGUCGUUACCAGUUCUUACGCCCGAGUGCGUCGUUUACAGGCCCGAGUGCCUAGUCGUUACAAGAGAUCCCUCGUGGGCCCGAGUGCCCUUAUCGUUAGUUAUAUAGGCCGUCGUGCCUAAGCGUCCGAAACACAAUCGACCGUGUUCUACGAGGCCCGAGUGCCUACGAACCGUAACGCUGCGAAUAGCGUUCACGAAGAAGCUUGACCAAGCUUAGCGCCGCAACACUGCGAAUAGUGCCUGCGAGAGGACCGAGUAUUCCUUUUCUUUUUUUUUUUUAUUAUUAUAUGUCCUUAGAUAUCGAAAUGAACUACGAGCAAUCCUACGAACACCCGCCGCACCCGAACGCGGCGGACGAUAACUUAGACCUACGAAGCAUCCUCCAGCAGCAGGCGCUACAGAUGGCCGAAUUGCAACGACGACUUGCUGAGAUGAGCACUCCCGCGUUCACCGUUCCUCCUACGCCCGCGCCUCACGAAAAGCCCCCA
rnacentral:sRNA from 1 species